rnacentral:siRNA from 1 species
AGUAUUCUAGAGAUGAGCGUGGA